rnacentral:rRNA from 1 species
GAUCAUGGCUCAGGAUGAACGCUAGCGACAGGCUUAACACAUGCAAGUCGAGGGGCAGCAUAAAAGUAGCAAUACGUUGGUGGCGACCGGCGCACGGGUGAGUAACGCGUAUGCAACCUACCUAUCAGAGGGGAAUAACCCGGCGAAAGUCGGACUAAUACCGCAUAAAACAGGGGCACCGCAUGGUGAUAUUUGUUAAAGAAAUUCGCUGAUAGAUGGGCAUGCGUUCCAUUAGGUAGUUGGUGAGGUAACGGCUCACCAAGCCGACGAUGGAUAGGGAACUGAGAGGUUGGUCCCCCACACUGGUACUGAGACACGGACCAGACUCCUACGGGAGGCAGCAGUGAGGAAUAUUGGUCAAUGGGCGAGAGCCUGAACCAGCCAAGUCGCGUGAAGGAAGAAGGAUCUAUGGUUACGUAAACUUCUUUUGCGAGGGGAAUAAAGUGCAGGACGUGUCCUGUUUUGUAUGUACCCUGAGAAUAAGGAUCGGCUAACUCCGUGCCAGCCGCGGC